AUGUUUCCAUUCAAGUUUAAGAGGGAGCAGUUUCCUAUAAGGAUCAGCUUCGCUAUGACGAUUAACAAGGCUCAAGGUCAGACCAUACCGAUUGUUGGUGUGUACCUACCUGAUCCAGUGUUCUCACAUGGUCAACUCUACAUCGUAUUGUCUCGAGCGACCGCAAAGAGCAACGUAAAGAUCCUCAUUGAGAAGGACAAGCCGAAGGAGAAGGGCCAUAAGCAGUCUAAGAAUUCUAAAAAGCGCAAAAGACCUACCUGUCAGUGCUUAGCUCCAUGA
rnacentral:rRNA from 1 species